UACGUAGGCAGCAAGCGUUGUCCGGAUUUACUGGGCGUAAAGAGCGCGCAGGCGGUCGUGCAAGUCGCGUGUGAAAGCCCCCGGCUCAACUGGGGAGGGUCACGCGAUACUGAUCGACUCGAAGGCAGGAGAGGGUAGUGGAAUUCCCGGUGUAGUGGUGAAAUGCGUAGAUAUCGGGAGGAACACCAGUGGCGAAGGCGACUACCUGGCCUGUUCUUGACGCUGAGGCGCGAAAGCUAGGGGAGCAAACGGGG
rnacentral:rRNA from 1 species